ensembl:snoRNA
UGCCCUGCAUGGUAUCUGCACUCAGCAGCUCCCUCCUGCUGGUGUGUUCAGAGAACAGUGCAGUAGAAAUUCUCUAUCUGGCAUCAUUGGUUUUCUUGGCUUUGGUGCCUAUUAAACCUGGUAUUUCUAUUGAUACAGUU